UACGUAGGGGGCAAGCGUUGUCCGGAUUCAUUGGGCGUAAAGAGCGUGUAGGCGGCCAGGUAGGUCGGUUGUGAAAACUGGAGGCUCAACCUUCAGAGGUCGACCGAAACCAUCUGGCUAGAGUCCGGGAGAGGAGAGUGGAAUUCCUGGUGUAGCGGUGAAAUGCGCAGAUAUCAGGAAGAACACCCGUGGCGAAGGCGGCUCUCUGGACAGUUACUGACGCUGAGGCACGAAGGCCAGGGGAUCAAACGGG
rnacentral:rRNA from 1 species